rnacentral:rRNA from 1 species
GUACGGAAGGCAGCAGUCGAGAAUUUUUCACAAUGGGCGAAAGCCUGAUGGAGCGACGCCGCGUGGGGGAUGAAUGGCUUCGGCCCGUAAACCCCUGUCAUUCGGGAUCAAUUCCUGCUUUCUAACACGAGGCAGGUUGAUAGUACCGGAAGAGGAAGGGACGGCUAACUCUGUGCCAGCAGCCGCGGUAAUACAGAGGUCCCAAGCGUUGUUCGGAUUUACUGGGCGUAAAGGGUGCGUAGGCGGUCGGGUAAGUUUGAUGUGAAAUCUCGGAGCUCAACUCCGAAACUGCAUUGAAUACUAUUCGGCUAGAGGUUGGGAGGGGGGACUGGAAUUCUCGGUGUAGCAGUGAAAUGCGUAGAUAUCGAGAGGAACACCAGUGGCGAAGGCGAGUCCCUGGACCAAUCCUGACGCUGAGGCACGAAAGCCAGGGGAGCAAACGGGAUUAGAUACCCGGGUAGUCCU